rnacentral:rRNA from 1 species
UACGUAGGGUGCAAGCGUUGUCCGGAAUUAUUGGGCAUAAAGAGCUCGUAGGCGGUCCGUCACGUCGGAUGUGAAAUUCCAGGGCUCAACCCUGGACCUGCAUUCGAUACGGGCGGACUAGAGUUCGGUAGGGGAGACUGGAAUUCCUGGUGUAGCGGUGAAAUGCGCAGAUAUCUGGAGGAAUACCGGUGGCGAAGGCGGCAUCCUGGACCGGCAUUGACGCUGAGGAGCGAAAGCCAGGGGAGCAAACGGG